rnacentral:sRNA from 1 species
UAAAAUUUAAGCUUAUCCCAACAAACUCUUCCAUAAACUUAAAUUCUUCCUUCCUUCAUUCUGCUUUCUAUGUACAUCAUCUCACAUCGGGUUUGCUUCUUUCAAUUAGAUUUGACUUCUUCUUCUCCUUAUAGCUCUCAUAUCUUUUACCUUUGUUGACCUCUUUAAUGCUUUGACUGAAUUUGUUAUAUGUCUGACUUCUCAAUAACCUUGACCAACUCGUUUGUGACCUUAUAGCUGACUGGACAUUCCUGUUUGCAUAAACACUACCCAAUUACACAAUCCGACCACUCAUCAUUCGGAUGAAAAACAAAGGCCUCAUGGACGGCCGGUUUCAAGAUGUUGGUCGAAGAAGUCGAUCAACAAAGAUUAGGAUUAAGGUAAGUAACCAUUAAAGCUAUUGGGUUGAAUUUGGACCGUGAUUAACUUUUCACUAAUCCCAAGUCCAUAGCAAAAAUUAUAAAUACAGGUCAAAGGUCAAUGGUAGAUAGGUUGCAUUUACUGCACAUUUAUCACUGUUCUCAUACUAACUUUGGCAUGGAGAAUCUUUGACAGGUUCCCCCGGACGAUUGGAGUAGACAACAAAAAUUAGAGCGAGACCUGACGGCAAGAAGACAAAUGUAGAGGAAUACAAUAACGACCAAAUAACCUCUCGUGAGACACGGUUUGGUGUCUCUGUUUUAUGUGCCUUGUCAAUGAAAAAUUCCACGGAAUGGUAAGUUAAUUGCAUAUUUUAUUUUGUUUUUUUGGUUUCCCAUAAAAUCAACAUACA